UCUUUGCUAGUAUAUCGGUUAGUACACGCGCCUGUCACGCGUCCCUCCAUGUGUCUCCGCGCGAAAGCUGGGUUCGACUCCCAGGCAGAGAG